rnacentral:rRNA from 1 species
UACGUAGGGGGCAAGCGUUGUCCGGAUUUAUUGGGCGUAAAGGGCGUGUAGGCGGUCCGCUAAGUCUGAUGUGAAAGCCCGGGGCUCACCCCCGGAAGUGCAUUGGAAACUGGCGGACUCGAGUCCCGGAGAGGAGAGUGGAAUUCCUGGUGUAGCGGUGAAAUGCGUAGAUAUCAGGAGGAACACCGGUGGCGAAGGCGGCUCUCUGGACGGUGACUGACGCUGAGACGCGAAAGCGUGGGGAGCAAACAGG